GACCGGUAAUGAAAUGCAAAAUAGUAUGUAUUUGGAAAAUGAAAUAUUUAAGUCUCCACAUGUGUAUUUCAACUUAUUUUAGAAGUAUUUUAGCAAUUUAAAAUUUCGCUCAAAACUUGGCGCGGUACCUUGCUCGUGCUCAAAACGUGAAAGUUGCUCCUGCUCCAUAGCAUUUGGGCGAUCUCACACCGCUGCAUCUCUUCUUACGCCGCCGUUUGUGUCUCUCCCUCGUCGCCGUUCUGCCACCGUCACCCUCAUCCUCCAAACACCCACGACCGUCACUCCAUCAAAGAAUAAGAAAGCUCAUAAGAGUAGACAGAAACAGAUGCAAGAAUGGUUUUCAUGACUCAGGAGGAUUGGAGAGUCAAUCUGUACAAGAAUUGGAAAAUUAUGCUGUGUAUAAAACUGAAGAGACUACAAAAUCAAUACUAGAAUUCACAUGACUGCUGAAGAGAUAAGAGAGGAAGCCACUAAAACUCAUAGCGCUUUCCAUAUUGAUAAUUGCAAUUUAGUGAUGAUAUUUACUAAACCUCUAAGACAUUGGUAUUCUUUUUAGGUGUUUAUUAGGGAUGUUACAAAAUAGUGAUUCAUGUUAUGAGAAAGCCCAAGAAGUUUCUGAUAACAAGUCUGCUCGAGCACUGGUGACCGAAAUACCUUGGCUUUUCUUAUCUACUCUUUCUUUCGGUCUAUGGUACACAAUAUUAUGCUUCUGUUUACUUCUUAAGGUGAUAGCACUACUGCAUGUCUUCCGACUUCAUGACAAUAUAUUUUGGCCUUAGGGAGUCUGCAAUGAGAAAUUGAGAAUGAACUCUAUGUAUCAUUGUAUCUAGAUGGAAGGUUUGCAUUAGGUGCUGUUACAUUAAAGGUGUAUGCAAAAUUUUGGACUUGUUCACUGGCAACUAUUUCUCUCCCAACCUAUAUAUUUGAAUCAUCUGAUAUGGAUAGGCGUGGAAUAAUAUUUCUUGUUUGUAUGUUUUUUCCUCCUUUUCUUUUGGAUCUUUUAGAAGCAAUUGUAGUACAUUAUGCAUUUGUGGUACAUUAUUUUUGAGAUCUAUUAAUUGUAGUACAUUAUUUACAAGAACUUCCUAAGAGUAGAAAGAGCUGUUGACACU